rnacentral:rRNA from 1 species
UACAGAGGGUGCAAGCGUUGUUCGGAAUUACUGGGCGUAAAGCGUGCGUAGGCGGCUAUGUAAGACAGAUGUGAAAUCCCUGGGCUCAACCUAGGAACUGCAUUUGUGACUGCAUUGCUAGAGUGUGGUAGAGGGAGAUGGAAUUCCGCAUGUAGCAGUGAAAUGCGUAGAUAUGCGGAGGAACACCAAUGGCGAAGGCAAUCUCCUGGACCUGCACUGACGCUCAUGCACGAAAGCGUGGGGAGCAAACAGG